rnacentral:tRNA from 1 species
CGGGGUAUAGCGCAGUUGGCUAGCGCGCAGCGUUCGGGACGCUGAGGUCCCCGGUUCAAAUCCGGGUACCCCGACCA